UUUAAAUCUGAACUACUUAUUGUAAAAAUAUUGUAAAAGUAUUAUUCAUAAUUAAACAGUGUUUGUAGCUUGACCUAAGGUGUCUGAGGGAACAGUUAAGACUAUAACAAUAGUAUUUUUCCCUGUUACACUUGCUCUUCCCAUGCCACUAAUAGAUUCAUAGAAUAAUAGACUGGUUUGGGUUGGAGUCACUGGAAUCUCAGGGAGUUGGUCAUGAUUCCUCUCUCCUCACCAGCAGUGAAACAAUGAGGCAGAGCAAUGAGGCCCAAUUGUUGGGCUUAGCCCUGCUGUCCCAUUGUCGCCAUUUCCCUCCCCAGGCACCUUUGGGCCGCCAUUUUGUGCCACCACCCUGGCCUGUGAGGCUGUGCUCUCUCUCCUACAACAUCUUGUAUUGCUGCAUGCAUGUCUACAACAACUUUCCCUGUAGGAUCCAUCAGAUAUUUGCUGCAAAACUUGCAGGAGCUGUCUUUGGCUGUGUGAGGAGCCCCUUGGCCCUGCCCCUACUUCGGAUCAACUCAUUAUCCCGAAUAAACGAUGUGUCAUUCCCAUUAUUUAUGUUUCACUGCAGCCAAAGUAUCUGGACCUCGUUUUUGCAUUUAAAGACAAACAGCUGCCUGAGCUUCAGCUGGAGGAGGAAAAGGAAGACACCAUCAAGCAUGAAUGUUGGUGCUGAAACUGCGUGCACAAGACAGCCCCAUCCCAUACAGCCAGAAGCCCUGUGGAUAUGGAAGGAGGUAGGAGACACUAGUUUGAGACCCUGCUUUACCUACCAUAACCAGGGAUGCCUUCUAACCUAAACAGUGGCCCUGAUAUUGCAGGCUGAGUUUAAGUUUCAUCUGGCUGCUUCUAGAUGCCUUCAGUGCAGACUUGUACAUCUGAAUUCAUCCAGACUGCCUUAUGGCUGCUGGAGAAAAGCAAGAUAUUUUAGCACUCAGUAUUUAAACCCUAAGCAUGACUGUUGCUCUCCAUCAACUAUAAAUGGAACCAAAGAGAGUGAAUGGGAUGGAGAGGUCUAGCCUGUACAACCUGCAGCUGAAGAAGAAGAACCCCGCUGACCACUCAGUCAACUUUACAAAAGGAGUCAGCUUGAAGAGUUGAAGCUCAUUCCAACACCUGUAGUUACAAUCAGCUGCCUGAGCCUCUGGCUGCCUUUCCCUGAUCCUUGCUGCCCUGUUCCUCCAAUGUCAUCUGUGUUUCUCUGCUGUGUGAGGACCUUUUCACAUUGAGAAUCUGCUGUGCAACCCCACUUGCUUUUAUUGCUCUAAUCCAAGUUCAAUGAGACACCUCACACCUGUCAGCUCAUUCUCCAGAAAG
rnacentral:lncRNA from 1 species